rnacentral:misc_RNA from 1 species
GAUGAAGAACGCAGCGAAAUGCGAUAAGUAGUGUGAAUUGCAGAAUUCAGUGAAUCAUCGAAUCUUUGAACGCACAUUGCGCCCCUUGGUAUCCCGGGGGGCAUGCCUGUUCGAGCGUCAUUUCACCACUCAAGCCUGGCUUGGUGUUGGGCGACGUCCCCUUUGGGGACGCGCCUCGAAACGCUCGGCGGCGUGGCACCGGCUUUAAGCGUAGCAGAAUCUUUCGCUUUGGAAGUCGGGGCCCCGUCUGCCGGAAGACCUACUCGCAAGGUUGACCUCGGAUCAGGCAGGGAUACCCGCUGAACUUAAGCAUAUCAAUAAGCGGAGGA